rnacentral:rRNA from 1 species
AGCAGCCGCGGUAAUUCCAGCUCCAAUAGCGUAUAUUAAAGUUGUUGCAGUUAAAAAGCUCGUAGUUGAAUUUCGGGAUUGACACAUCGGUCGUGCCUUAAGGGGUAUGAACUGGUGUAGUCAAUUUCUCACCUUCUGGAGAACCGCGAUGCCCUUAAUUGGGUGUCGCGGGGAACCAGGACCUUUACUUUGAAAAAAUUAGAGUGUUUAAAGCAGGCAUUUUGCUUGAAUACAUUAGCAUGGAAUAAUAAAAUAGGACGGCAUGAUUCUAUUUUGUUGGUUUCUAGGAUCACCGUAAUGAUUAAUAGGGAUAGUUGGGGGGCAUUAGUAUUCAAUUGUCAGAGGUGAAAUUCUUGGAUUUAUUGAAGACUAACUACUGCGAAAGCAUUUGCCAAGGAUGUUUUCAUUAAUCAAGAACGAAAGUUAGGGGAUCGAAGACGAUCAGAUACCGUCGUAGUCUUAACCAUAAACUAUGCCGACUAGGAAUCAGACGAUGUUAAUUUUUUAAUGACUCGUUUGG